GAUGAACGCUGGCGGCGUGCCUAAUACAUGCAAGUCGAGCGAACAGACGAGGAGCUUGCUCCUCUGACGUUAGCGGCGGACGGGUGAGUAACACGUGGAUAACCUACCUAUAAGACUGGGAUAACUUCGGGAAACCGGAGCUAAUACCGGAUAACAUGUUGAACCGCAUGGUUCAACAGUGAAAGACGGUCUUGCUGUCACUUAUAGAUGGAUCCGCGCCGCAUUAGCUAGUUGGUAAGGUAACGGCUUACCAAGGCAACGAUGCGUAGCCGACCUGAGAGGGUGAUCGGCCACACUGGAACUGAGACACGGUCCAGACUCCUACGGGAGGCAGCAGUAGGAAAUCUUACGCAAUGGGCGAAAGCCUGACGGAGCAACGCCGCGUGAGUGAAGAAGGUCUUCGGAUCGUAAAACUCUGUUAUUAGGGAAGAACAAAUGUGUAAGUAACUAUGCACGUCUUGACGGUACCUAAUCAGAAAGCCACGGCUAACUACGUG
rnacentral:rRNA from 1 species